AGUGCCUGGGUCCGUGUGAAGUGAAUACAGAUGUCUCAAUAAUGAUCGGCAGGACGUUGGGCUGAUUUUCAGUGUUUGAAGGUCUCCUAUAAAGUCGUCCUUUGUGCAGUUGUAAGGGUUAUUUUUUCCGUUCUUUUUUUUUUUCUCUCUCUCUUUCUCAACGUGAACAGCUCUGUUGGUAAGAAUCAUCUAACAGGAAACUGUUUUUUGCUCUGAAGGAGAUCAAGAGAACUCGUUUUGGGGAACCACUUGGGUGCCCAGCUGCUGUCCAUUCUCUACACUUAUCCCACCUGAUGGAAGGCUGUUAAGAAAAACAUCACUGCAAUGCCUAAUAAACAGACAUGGGUCCCAGACCCAAUAAGAGUGAAACCAUCCCCCUAUUUAAAUGAAAUUAUGGCUGAUGAGAAAGACAAAUUAAUUUCUCUGUCCCUAGUAUUACACAAAACUUUGGAUGCUGCCAUUGUUACAAUUUUAUUUUCCCCAGGAGCUCAGAGUCCCACCUUCAUUCUUUUUGUUUAAUGCUUAAGCUUGCCUGUCCACCUAUGGAAGACUAGAAUGAGCAAAGACCAUGUAUUCAAUGAUCUGUAAAUCUAACAGGAAACAAUAUAAUAAAUAUAUUGUGUUUGCUAACCAAA
rnacentral:lncRNA from 1 species